rnacentral:rRNA from 1 species
UACGUAGGGUGCGAGCGUUGUCCGGAAUCAUUGGGCGUAAAGAGCGUGUAGGCGGCCUGAAAGGUCAGCUGUGAAAACUCGAGGCUUAACCUCGAGACGUCGGUUGAAACCAUCUGGCUAGAGUCCGGAAGAGGAGUGUGGAAUUCCCGGUGUAGCGGUGAAAUGCGCAGAUAUCGGGAAGAACACCCGUGGCGAAGGCGGCACUCUGGGACGGUACUGACGCUGAGACGCGAAAGCGUGGGGGAGCGAACAGG